rnacentral:tRNA from 1 species
GCCCGUAUAGCUCAGUGGUAGAGCGUCAGUCUUGUAAGCUGAAGGUCCGUAGUUCGAUCCUACGUGCGGGCA